AUUUGAUAAUGUGGACAUUGUAUUUGUAACUCCCCAAAUCUUUCCUAAGCUUCGAAGAAUUCUUCCGUAUUUUUUGUCCUAAAGUUUGAAUUUUGUUUCUUAAAUC
rnacentral:snoRNA from 1 species